rnacentral:rRNA from 1 species
AAUUACUAACCAGGCCCAGGGUCGGGCCUGGUUAGUACUUGGAUGGGAGACCGCCUGGGAAUACCAGGUGUUGUAAGCC